rnacentral:rRNA from 1 species
UAAGGAAUAUUGGUCAAUGGACGCAAGUCUGAUCCAGCCAUGCCGCGUGCAGGAAGACGGCCCUAUGGGUUGUAAACUGCUUUUGUACCAGAGAAAACCUAUCUACGUGUAGAUAGCUGAUAGUAUGGUAAGAAUAAGCAUCGGCUAACUUCGUGCCAGCAGCCGCGGUAAGACGAAGGGUGCAAGCGUUAUCCGGAUUCAUUGGGUUUAAAGGGGGCGUAGGCGGGCUGGUAAGUCAGUGGUGAAAUCUCUCAGCUUAACUGAGAAACUGCCAUUGAUACUGCAGGCCUAGAGUAUAGAUGACGUUGGCGGAAUAUGACAUGUAGUGGUGAAAUACGUAGAUAGGUCAUAGAACACCGAUUGCGAAGGCAGCUAACGAAACUAUAACUGACGCUGAGGCACGAAAGUGCGGGGAUCAAAAA